rnacentral:rRNA from 1 species
AACGGGGUCUAAUACCGGAUACUGAUCGCCUUGGGCAUCCUUGGUGAUCGAAAGCUCCGGCGGUGCAGGAUGAGCCCGCGGCCUAUCAGCUUGUUGGUGAGGUAAUGGCUCACCAAGGCGACGACGGGUAGCCGGCCUGAGAGGGCGACCGGCCACACUGGGACUGAGACACGGCCCAGACUCCUACGGGAGGCAGCAGUGGGGAAUAUUGCACAAUGGGCGAAAGCCUGAUGCAGCGACGCCGCGUGAGGGAUGACGGCCUUCGGGUUGUAAACCUCUUUCAGCAGGGAAGAAGCGAAAGUGACGGUACCUGCAGAAGAAGCGCCGGCUAACUACGUGCCAGCAGCCGCGGUAAUACGUAGGGCGCGAGCGUUGUCCGGAAUUAUUGGGCGUAAAGAGCUCGUAGGCGGCUUGUCGCGUCGGUUGUGAAAGCCCGGGGCUUAACCCCGGGUCUGCAGUCGAUACGGGCAGGCUAGAGUUCGGUAGGGGAGAUCGGAAUUCCUGGUGUAGCGGUGAAAUGCGCAGAUAUCAGGAGGAACACCGGUGGCGAAGGCGGAUCUCUGGGCCGAUACUGACGCUGAGGAGCGAAAGCGUGGGGAGCGAACAGGAUUAGAUACCCUGGUAGUCCACGCCGUAAACGGUGGGCACUAGGUGUGGGCGACAUUCCACGUCGUCCGUGCCGCAGCUAACGCAUUAAGUGCCCCGCCUGGGGAGUACGGCCGCAAGGCUAAAACUCAA